UUUGGACAAUGGGGGAAACCCUGAUCCAGCAAUGCCGCGUGUGUGAAGAAGGCCUUCGGGUUGUAAAGCACUUUUGUCCGGAAAGAAAACCUUUGCACUAAUACUGUGGGGGGAUGACGGUACCGGAAGAAUAAGCACCGGCUAACUACGUGCCAGCAGCCGCGGUAAUACGUAGGGUGCGAGCGUUAAUCGGAAUUACUGGGCGUAAAGCGUGCGCAGGCGGUUCGUUAAGACAGAUGUGAAAUCCCCGGGCUUAACCUGGGAACUGCAUUUGUGACUGGCGAGCUAGAGUAUGGCAGAGGGGGGUAGAAUUCCACGUGUAGCAGUGAAAUGCGUAGAGAUGUGGAGGAAUACCGAUGGCGAAGGCAGCCCCCUGGGCCAAUACUGACGCUCAUGCACGAAAGCGUGGGGAGCAAACAGGAUUAGAUACCCUGGUAGUCCACGCCCUAAACGAUGUCAACUAGUUGUUGGGGAUUCAUUUCCUUAGUAACGUAGCUAACGCGUGAAGUUGACCG
rnacentral:rRNA from 1 species